rnacentral:rRNA from 1 species
AUAGGUGGGAGGCGUUGAUUAUAAUCUUGCGGGAUUAUUGGAGCCAUCAGUGAGAUACCACCCUUGUAAUGUUAGAUUUCUAACUUUGAAUCAUUAUCCGGUCAAAGAACAGUUUCAGGCGGGCAGUUUGACUGGGGCGGUCGCCUCCUAAACGGUAACGGAGGCGUACAAAGGUUUCCUCUGAACGGUUAGAAAUCGUAUCUAGAGUGUAAAGGCAUAAGGAAGCUUGACUGUGAGACCUACAAGUCGAGCAGGGACGAAAGUCGGUCUUAGUGAUCUGACGGUACUGAGUGGAAAGGCCGUCACUCAACGGAUAAAAGUUACUCUAGGGAUAACA